rnacentral:rRNA from 1 species
CCUACGGGAGGCAGCAGUGAGGAAUAUUGGUCAAUGGACGAGAGUCUGAACCAGCCAAGUAGCGUGAAGGAUGACUGACCUCUGGGUUGUAAACUUCUUUUAUAUGGGAGUAAAAUGUUCCACGUGUGGGAUUUUGUAUGUACCAUAUGAAUACGGAUCGGCUAACUCCGUGCCAGCAGCCGCGGUAAUACGGAGGAUCCGAGCGUUAUCCGGAUUGAUUGGGUUUAAAGGGAGCGUAGGUGGAUUGUUAAGUCAGUUGUGAAAGUUUGCGGCUCAACCGUAAAAUUGCAGUUGAAACUGGCAGUCUUGAGUACAGGAGAGGCGGGCGGAAUUCGUGGUGUAGCGGUGAAAUGCUUAGAUAUCACGAAGAACUCCGAUUGCGAAGGCAGCUCACUGGACUGCAACUGACACUGAGGCUCGAAAGUGUGGGUAUCAAACAGGAUUAGAUACCCCUGUAGUC